GUAGAGGGAGAGUCCAGAGCAGGCAGGAAUGCUCUAACGGAGCCGGGGGACAGCAACGGAGGGAAGGUGAGGAAGUGUGGGUGCUGAAAGAGGGCCCUGUCUGUCUCCCUCCUGUCUGUCCCGUCUGUCCGCUGCCCCUGCUUCGUCCCAGGAAGUGGAGGCGUGGGGACCUGCCCCGGCGUGGCAGAAGGGUGCUGUAGGACUCCAUGAGCAGGUGAGGAGGCUUAGGCUCCCCAGGUCAGAGGCCCAUCGGGCAGAGUUUUCAGCCCCAUAUGAGUCUGACCUGCCCCUGCGCUCUACCCGCCGAGACAACCCAAGGAUGCGAAUGUGGCAGGGGGAGGAGAAGCCGGGAGAUCCUGCGAAGCAGCUCUGGGCGGCUGGUUGGAGUCCUGGAGAAGGCACAACAGAGAGAAGGUGCCAACCCUCUGCGUCGCUCCUGAGAGGAGAUUUUCACAGGGGCCCCGGCUUCAUCACCCUGUCUCCUGGUCCCAAAGACAGAGCUGGCCCAGAGUGGAACAUCAGAAAACGUUGAUGACCCAGACGAAUGAAGAGGUAAAUCCCAACAAGCUGGAUUCGUGAAUGGGAUGUGCCCAGAGGAACUUUAUCAAGAAUGAAUGCAAAAAAAAAAAAAAAAAAGAAUGAAUGCAAAGGGGCG